rnacentral:misc_RNA from 1 species
AUGAAGAACGUAGCGAAAUGCGAUACUUGGUGUGAAUUGCAGAAUCCCGUGAACCAUCGAGUCUUUGAACGCAAGUUGCGCCCGAAGCCAUUAGGCCGAGGGCACGCCUGCCUGGGCGUCACACGUCGUUGCCCCCCCAUCUACUCCUUCGGGAUUGCGGGGGGCGGAUGAUGGCCUCCCGUGCGCCUCGCCGCGCGGUUGGCAUAAAUGCCAAGUCCUCGGCGACGCACGCCACGACAAUCGGUGGUUGCGAAACCUCGGUUGCCCGUCGUGUGCGGUCGUCGCGCAUCGAGGGCUCGAAAAAAUUGCCGGGUUCCGGCUCGGCUUUCAACGCGACCCCAGGUCAGGCGGGGUUACCCGCUGAAUUUAAGCAUAUCAAUAAGCGGAGGA